CCCUUAGAUGUUCUGGGCCGCACGCGCGCUACACUGACGAAGUCAGCGAGCAUGUCCUACGCCGACAGGUGCGGGGAAUCUUGUCAAACUUCGUCGUGAUGGGGAUUGAUUAUUGAAAUUCUUGAUCAUCAACGAGGAAUUCCUAGUAAGCGCAAGUCAGCAGCUUGCGUUGAUUACGUCCCUGCCCUUUGUACACACCGCCCGUCGCUACUACCGAUUGAAUGGUUUAGUGAGAUCUUCGGAUUGGCGCCACUGCGGCUCAGCAAUGGGCUCGGUGGAUGCCGAAAAGUUGAUCAAACUUGAUCAUUUAGAGGAAGUAAAAGGCGUAACA
rnacentral:rRNA from 1 species